GGGGGGGGGGGGGGCAUAUUCUUACUGCAGACUGGUACCCUGUGGUUCUUCUGCAGCUAAUAGUGCUUACCCCCUCGUCCCUUUGGAAGAGAUUUAUUUAUUAAAUAAAAAAUCAAUGUCUUCGGACUCUUUGAUGAUUCUCAAUAUCUUUUCAAAUCGCACGGCCCUGUGCUGGCGAUGGUUCAUUCAUAUUUCUGCCCUAUCAUCUUUCGAUGGUGGGAUAAUGGCCUACCAUGGUUUCAACGGGUAACGGGGAAUAAGGGUUCGAUUCCGGAGAGGGAGCCUGAGAAACGGCUACCACAUCCUAGGAAGGCAGCAGGCGCGCAAAUUACCCAAUCCUAAUUCAGGGAGGUAGUGACGAUAAUUCACCAUGCAGCA
rnacentral:rRNA from 1 species